rfam:Cavia porcellus supercont2_150 genomic scaffold, whole genome shotgun sequence.
GGGGAUUUAGCUUAGUGGCAUAAGCGCCUGCCUUGUAAGCAGGCAAUCGCCAGUUCGAUCCCUGGUACCA